AAUAAAAUCACAAUUUGGUUGGCCCACCCCCCUUAAUGGGUAAAACUCACCUUUAUUCCAGCACCAUCAGAACUGAUGAUUUUAGCAAUCCAAUGCUUUUCAACGGGAAAGCAUUGGAUUAGCUGAGAUUGGCUAAGAUCAUCAGAAUUGACAAAGAGGUAGGGCAGGGCCAAAUGCAGCACUGGCCAAUCAGCAUCUGCUCCUAGGGAUGCAUUGAAUGAAUGCAGAUCUAUGGGGAAAGUUCAGUGUCUUCAUAGUGUGGAAAUGCCGAAUGUCAGUACUGCACCCAGGAAGCACCUUUAGUGGCAGUCUCACUGACUGCCACUGUUAGUGUCCCUAGGCAGUAAUGUAAACACUGCCUUUUCCUUGAAAAUGCCUGCAAAGACAUAC